rnacentral:rRNA from 1 species
UACAGAGGGUGCGAGCGUUUAAUCGGAAUUACUGGGCGUAAAGCGUGCGUAGACGGCUAUCUAAGUCGGGUGUGAAAGCCCCGGGCUCAACCUGGGAAUUGCAUUUGAGACUGCUCUGCUCGGGUGCGGAAGAGGGAAGCGGAAUUUCCGGUGUAGCGGUGAAAUGCGUAGAUAUCGGAAGGAACACCAGUGGCGAAAGCGGCUACCUGGACCAGCACUGACACUGAAGCACGAAAGCGUGGGGAGCAAACAGGA